rnacentral:lncRNA from 1 species
GUCAGCGGUCCGAGCCGAAGGCGGGGAGGGUGGAGAGAAGGCUCGUCUCUGCGCCCGGCGGCCGCCCGGUGGGUGGCUGCGUUACUGUGGCCCGGAGCCCGACAGAGAAAGGAAGGAGGAGACCUGAACAGUACAUCCGGAGAAUCCAGCAAAGCAUACUACGGCAUGAACGUGCAAGUGGACAGAAUUAAAACACAUGCCAGAAACACUAAUGGAUUCUAAACAAGAUGCAGUUUCAUUUCCUGAGCCUAUACGUGAUGUUUUUAACUGUUCUCCAGUUAAUAUGUCUCCAUUUCCAGAAAUCUAACAGGAGAAUCUCUGACUGCUUAACAGAUCACCUAAGCUUGCGAUUUGUGCAAUCCUUUCUAGAGUAAGGGCUCCCCGGCUGCUCCCCGGCCACUGUGUACCCAAAGCAGCGGCUGAAAUAGCCCGGAGUCCAACAGCUCAGCGUCAAGCAGCUCGUGGCAAACGCAGCCGCCGGUCUUGACUGCCAUCGCCCAAGGGGUUCCUCUGGGCUCUCCCGCGAGCCAACAGCCGACCUCUCUCCAGCCUAGUCUGGGAAACUCCAGCCAACCCAGGAUCCCAUUUUGUAGUCCCGGGCAGACCCGAAACCCCUGAAAGAACUCCACUCCAGAAGACGCCAGAACAAGUUCCCACGAAUUUCAUGGGCGCCCUUCACAUGAAAACCUCAGCUCCCCUAUCCUCAAGGAACGGGGAAGGGCGCCGGGGAGGGACUUCGGUGGCCAGCUGUCCCUGGGUCGUGGGCGCUGUUUGCUCUGCGGAGCGCCAGCCCUGCACACAGCGGGUGCGGGAAGCGUUGAUGGGAGGCUGGAGGGCGGGGUGAGCGUAAACUAGGAUCUAGCCGGUUCCAGGCGUGGAGAAUCAAAUGUGGUCCUAGAUCUGUAAGUUGCGAAAAGGGGCUUUUGGGAGCGUCAGAGCUUUCUCACUCCGGUCCCCCGCCGCCUUGAGGCUGGCAGAUUUAUACCCCACAGGUGGAUGGAGACCUAAACAAAACAGUCCCGGCCGCUGCCUGCCGCUCGCCCCCCACGUCCCCCGGGCCCACCGCAAACUUCAACAAAAUAAACAACUCACCACAGGCAUUCCCUUGUCUGCAGCGCGACGCUUGCCAGCUGGGAAAAUAAGCCGCAAGCCACGCGGCCGAGGC